UACGAAGGGGGCUAGCGUUGUUCGGAAUUACUGGGCGUAAAGGGCGCGUAGGCGGUACUUCAAGUCAGGCGUGAAAGCCCCGGGCUCAACCUGGGAACCGCGCUUGAGACUGGAGAACUAGAGUUCGGGAGAGGAUGGUGGAAUUCCCAGUGUAGAGGUGAAAUUCGUAGAUAUUGGGAAGAACACCGAUGGCGAAGGCAGCCAUCUGGACCGACACUGACGCUGAGGCGACGAAGCGUGGGGAGCAAACAGG
rnacentral:rRNA from 1 species